rnacentral:rRNA from 1 species
UACAGAGGUCUCAAGCGUUGUUCGGAUUCAUUGGGCGUAAAGGGUGCGUAGGUGGUGAUGCAAGUCUGGUGUGAAAUCUCGGAGCUCAACUCCGAAAUUGCACCGGAUACUGCGUGACUCGAGGACUGUAGAGGAGAUCGGAAUUCACGGUGUAGCGGUGAAAUGCGUAGAUAUCGGGAGGAACACCGGUGGCGAAGGCGGCCCCCUGGUUGGAUACUGACGCUGAGACGCGAAAGCGUGGGGAGCAAACAGG